UACGUAGGGAGCAAGCGUUGUCCGGAAUCAUUGGGCGUAAAGAGCGUGUAGGCGGACCAGUAAGUCGGUUGUGAAAGUCCAGGGCUCAACCCUGGAAAGCCGGCCGAUACUGCUGGUCUAGAGUCCGGAAGAGGCGAGUGGAAUUCCUGGUGUAGCGGUGAAAUGCGCAGAUAUCAGGAGGAACACCGGUGGCGAAGGCGGUGAUCUGGGCCGGUACUGACGCUGAGGAGCGAAAGCGUGGGGAGCGAACAGG
rnacentral:rRNA from 1 species